rnacentral:rRNA from 1 species
AAAGGAAUAGACGGGGGCCCGCACAAGCAGUGGAGUAUGUGGAUUAAUUCGAGGCAACGCGAAGAACCUUACCAGGGCUUGACAUCUCCUGUAGAUCUAAGAGAUUAGAUUGUCCCUUCGGGGCAGGAAGACAGGUGGUGCAUGGUUGUCGUCAGCUCGUGUCGUGAGAUGUUCGGUUAAGUCCGGCAACGAGCGCAACCCCUGUGGCCAGUUGCCAUCAUUCAGUUGGGCACUCUGGCAAGACUGCCGUUAAUAAAACGGAGGAAGGUGGGGAUGACGUCAAAUCAUCAUGCCCCUUAUGUCCUGGGCUUCACACGUACUACAAUGGUAACAACAGAGGGCAGCCACACCGCGAGGUGGAGCGAAUCCCAAAAUGUUAUCCCAGUUCGGAUUGCAGGCUGAAACUCGCCUGCAUGAAGCAGGAAUUGCUAGUAAUGGCAGGUCAGCAUACUGCCGUGAAUACGUUCCCGGGCCUUGUACACACCGCCCGU